UGUGUUUAAGAAAGACUAAGGGAGGUAC
rnacentral:piRNA from 1 species